rnacentral:lncRNA from 1 species
AAACGCGGCAGCUGGGCGGCCGUGGCGGUGAGGGGAGAGGCGGCCGGCGCUGCAUGCGUGUUUACGUAUCUCGGAUGGGUGUGGGAAGAGGAGAUAGAAAGAUUCUAAUGAAAAGAUGGAGGGGAGAGAGAGAGGGGGUUGAGAAGAAGGGGAGGCACCACCUUUCUUUUCUCUGCUCUUCCUGGGGAUCUGAAAACUCCUCCUAACAGGCCUU